GGAUAUAGCUCAGUUGGUAGAGUGCUUGCCUUGCAUGCACAAGGCCCUGGGUUCCAUCCCUAGCACCA
rnacentral:tRNA from 1 species